CUCGGUUUCUUGUCGUCUCGUCUCAUCGAGAAACCGGCAACUGGCAAAAGUUGUCUUGCUUUUCUUGUCAUGGCAACCGUAACGGUCGUUAUCACAUACAAGAUAUUUUUUUAUACGUGUGUUAUUAAACAUCAUUUAUCUCGCAUUUGCUCCUCUUGUGAAGAAGCAACGCUAUUUAAGCAAAGAAGAAGAAGAACGACAACCGGCAAUCAUUUUAUGAUCUCGUCUACUUUUUACUUCCAAAGAAUGUUUUUUGUGCGCAUUUGUUGCAGUAGAAUACGUGAUAAGUAGACUUAUAAAAUUGUACAUAUAUAUAUUGUAGAUGACGUAGCUUUGAUAGAUUGUGAUGAGAAAAGGAGGUUGAUAUAAAUAAAAGAUAGAAAUCAUUAUUUUAUAACAUAGUUGUACAAUCUAAUCUACUGCCGCAGCUGUCUCUACCAUUGUCUCUACAACGUUUUCAACGAACAUUUUUCAGCAUUUCGACAAUGAAACAGAUGAAUUUUGGAUCUCUUCAAAUAACAACAGCUUCUCGAAGAUUCGAGAGAAUUAUGAGAUUUACUGUAAAUAAACUUAUAACCUGGAGUAUCAAUUUACCGCAGUUAAAUAUCUACAAAUAACAACAGCUUCUCGAAUACACGGAUUCAAGAGAAUUACUAUACUGGAAAUAAACUUUGUAUAUAUAGAACAUCAACUCGCCGCAGUUAAAAAUGGAAAAACCGACAUGGACAGUAGUUCAGUUUUCGGCAGAUAACACUGUUGAAGCAGUACCAUCUGGCUGGAAAAAACACGAUAAAUGUUAUUGGCCUCCAUUUAAGUAUGAACAAGUUAUCGCUGCAAUUCGGAAAAAUGUGGAACGAAAUACAUAUGUUGGCCAUCUUAUAGCAUUAGUACGUUUUGGAAUAGCACAUAUGAGAACAAAAUAGUAAAAAGAAACUAGGAUAGCAGACAAACACUAUUCUAGUGAAGAGUUUUCUGAAGAGUCUCUGGCAGCACACUUCCGGAAUCUCCGCAAAUGACAAAUAUGGAAUCUAUGAAUAUUAAGAAAAAGUUACAUGUAAAUACAAAUGGAUCCAAAGUAAUUGAAAGAACUCCAAGUACGUCAACACAUAACUUGCCAAAUAAUAGUUAUAAUAUAUGCGAUGACGCUUAUAUGAGUAAUGCUUCUUUUUUAUCUAUUCAAAAUGAUAGUGAUAAUCCAAAGUAUUUCAAAGAAAUUAUUCGCCAGCAAAGUUUCUUUAAAACUCAAUUGUGAUAGAUGGCAGAUGAUUUGAGAGAAGUAAAAAAUGUCAUAAUGACCAAUAAUCUGAUACAAAAUCAAGAUAAUCAGCAACAAAAUGGAAGAUCGAUUUAUUCUUCUUUUGAGCUACCAUUGAGAACAGUGAAAGAUAUUGAAGAAGCUGUGGAACAGUUUUUAGAAAUUGAAGAUAACUUUAAAUACUACAGAAACAUGUACAGUAGGAGGCACUUUUCCUUACAAUUUUAUACAACGAAAUUUGUGCCGUUUGGUUAGCAAUAAACUUGCACAACAUUAUAACUGGAUAGGUGCAAAAUAUAAAAGGAAAUUUUGUAAUCUUCGAAUUGCCAACAUGU